GGUAAAGUGGCCGAGCAGGCGGCGAAUUGUAGCUUCGAAGACAGAGGUUUGAGUCCCCUCUUUACCA
rnacentral:tRNA from 10 species